CUGGGGGCACUGGGACACACUGACACCCUGUACUGGUGAGACUGGGGACACUGGGACACACUGGGGGCACUGGGCACCCUGAUCAGGCUCUUCUGCACCCAGAGCCGCGCCCGCCUCCUGGAGCUGAGGAGAGGAACUGACCCUGCCACCCUGUACUGAGCCGCGCCCGCCUCCUGGAGCUGAGGAGAGGAACCGACCCUGCCACCCUGUACUGCCUGGCGUUCAGCCCCGAC